rnacentral:rRNA from 1 species
UAGGGAAUCUUCCACAAUGGACGCAAGUUUGAUGGAGCAACGCCGCGUGAGUGAAGAAGGUUUUCGGAUCGUAAAGCUCUGUUGUUGGUGAAGAAGGAUAGAGGCAGUAACUGGUCUUUAUUUGACGGUAAUCAACCAGAAAGUCACGGCUAACUACGUGCCAGCAGCCGCGGUAAUACGUAGGUGGCAAGCGUUGUCCGGAUUUAUUGGGCGUAAAGCGAGCGCAGGCGGAAUGAUAAGUCUGAUGUGAAAGCCCACGGCUCAACCGUGGAACUGCAUCGGAAACUGUCAUUCUUGAGUGCAGAAGAGGAGAGUGGAAUUCCAUGUGUAGCGGUGGAAUGCGUAGAUAUAUGGAAGAACACCAGUGGCGAAGGCGGCUCUCUGGUCUGCAACUGACGCUGAGGCUCGAAAGCAUGGGUAGCGAACAGG